UCCGGUUUGGCACCGGCAGUCUCCCUAGAGUUCCCGGCAUGAUCCGCUGGCAACUAAGGACAGGGGUUGCGCUCGUUGCGCCACUUAAGGCAACACCUCACGGCACGAGCUGACGACAGCCAUGCAGCACCUGUGCACGGACUCCGAAGAGGGGCCGAUGUUUCCACCGGCUUUCCCGUGCAUGUCAAGCCCAGGUAAGGUACUUCGCGUCGCGUCGAAUUAAGCCACAUGCUCCGCCGCUUGUGCGGGCCCCCGUCAAUUCCUUUGAGUUUCAGCCUUGCGGCCGUACUCCCCAGGCGGGGCACUUCAUGCGUUAGCGCCGGUACUCCAAGGGUCGCUCCCCGGAGCACCUAGUGCCCAUCGUUUACGGCGUGGACUAC
rnacentral:misc_RNA from 1 species